rnacentral:rRNA from 1 species
CCUACGGGUGGCAGCAGUGAGGAAUAUUGGUCAAUGGACGAGAGUCUGAACCAGCCAAGCAGCGUGUAGGAUGACUGCCCUCUGGGUUGGAAACUUCUUUUCUAUGGGAAUAAAACGUUCCACGUGUGGGCUUUUGUAUGUACCAUAUGCAUAAGGAUCGGCUAACGCCGUGCCAGCAGCCGCGGUAAUACGGAGGAUACGAGCGUUAUCCGGAUUUAUGGGGUUUAAAGGGAACGUAGGUGGAUUCUUAAGUCAGUUGUGAAAGUUUGCGGCUCAACCCGACAAUUGCAGUUGACACUGGCAGUCUUGAGUACAGUAGAGGUGGGCGGAAUUCGAGGUGUAGCGGUGAAAUGCUUAGAGAUCUCGAAGAACUCCGAUUGCGAAGGCAGUUCACUGGACUACAACUGACACUGAGGCUCGAAAGUGUGGGUAUCAAACAGGAUUAGAUACCCGGGUAGUC